GGAGGACUCAUUUCCUUGCUCAUAGUUACUAUUCCACUGUCUGGUACAUAGUAGGCACUCAAUAACUAGACUACAAACUCCUCCAAGCAGGGAGGACUCACUUCCGUCUUUGUAUAUGUAUCCCCAGCACUUGGCACCCAGUAGGUGUUCUGGAAAGCCUUUGUUCCUGGAGCACAGCAUCUGCCACAUAGUAGGUGCUCUAGAAAGGCUUCAAUCCUGAAGUACUAUACCCAACACAGAGAAGGUGCUCUGGAAAGGCUUCGUUCCUGGAGCACAGUACCUGCCACACAGUAGGUGUUCUGGAAAGGCUUCGUUCCUGGAGCACAGCAUCUGCCACACAGUAGGUGCUCUGGAAAGGCUUCGUUCCUUGAGCACAGCAUCUGCCACACAGUAGGUGCUCUGGAAAGGCUUCAUUCCUGGAACACAGCAUCUGCCACACAGUAGGUGCUCUGGAAAGGCUUCAUUCCUGGAGCACAGCACCUGGCACAUAGUAGGUGCUUUGGAAAGGCUUCCUUCCUAGAGCACAAUACCUGACACACAGUAGGUACUCUGAAAAGGCUUCCUUCCUGCUCCUCAUAGGAUUCUAACUCAGAGAAGUGCCUUUCAUCCAAACAGGCUAUUUCCUUCUCUGGAUCUUGAGCCUCUCCCUCUGCUCACUCCUCAGAUUCCUGCCCACUUCCAAAGCCAAAGAAUGAAUAUUCCCCAAGAAACUUCCCUACCGGCCCUGGUGAGUGGCCACCUUCUCAACUCUGAACUCCAGGGCCGUUCUAUCUGGUGCAAAUGAAAUGUGCGUCUGUUCCACAGAUCUGCAGAGCGUUCUCUGCCCUUCUAAUCGACGACGGACUAACGGUUCCCAUCGCCGAUGCCUUGGAUUCAGCAGCAGGCCAGAGUCAGGAAGACUCAUCUUCAGGAGCUCCAUCCAGUCUCGGCUAACUUCCUACUUGUGUGACCCUGGGCAAGUCACUUCACCCCAUGUGCCUCAGUUUCCUUAUCUGUAAAAUUCAAACCACUCUAAUAUUUCUGCCAAGAAAACCCCAAAUCGGAUCACCAAGAACCGGACAAGAUCAAAACCACUGAACAACAACUACAUCACAGACCCCAGAGAGCCCCUUCCUCCCAACCCCCGGGACAGAGUCCGCAGCUUCAUAAUUUGGGUGGAGCGAGUACUCUCCCCAUCUGGUAUCGCUUGGCCCCGAGCCCAGUCCUCGGGCCCACUCCCACCACUGCAGUUGUGCAGCCAGCGAGGAUGGAGCGCAGUCACUUUCCAGGAAGGCCGGGCUCUUCCAGGCCAUCCCUCCCUCCUCUGGCUCUCAGGAAGCCCCUGGAAGGCGGAGGUCUCCGCCCCUGCACUUUUGCCCCCGCGCUCAGCCCAGCGGCGGCAGCAGGAAAUGCUUCAUCAAUACCUGUUCCCCGGCCUUUCCUUCACAGGGAAUCCUGGGCCGCCAAGGGCCCUCUGGAGGGGCCUCGGCUUCUGGGCGACUGGCAGGCGCGAUGUGGUGGCCGCCCUCUCCGGCCCCAGACAGCGGGAAACAGUAACAUUUACUAGAGCGGGAAACGGUAACACUUGUACAGGGGGAAACAGUAACAUUUCCUACAGCGGGGAAACAGUAACGUAACCGGCUCCCGGCGGAUACUUUGUUUCUCUGCACCAGCUCCAUCCCGGCCCGGGGCAGGUUCACAGCCCGGAGGCCUCUCCUCCCCCUCCCCCAGGUGGGCUCGCCAGCCCCGCUCGGCCAAUGAGAGGAAAGGCUCCGAAGCAGCUCUCCGGCCCACUUGGGCUUCUGGGUAUUUUGGCUUCAGCAGGGCAGAGAAAAAGUCCCGCCACGCCCCCAAAUGCGGACCGUCCCCCACAGAACCACCGAGUCUGAGCCUGCAGGUGCCUCCGGGAGAUGAAAGCUCGGGCCCGAGGAGGAGCCCAGGAUGUCUAACCCGAACAAGCGGCGGACUCCAGCACCCGCAGAGACCACAAGGCAGAGAAAGGAGGGGGUCCUCCGCGCAUGCGCCGGCGCUCCCCAGUCCGGAGCCCAGGCCCAGUACCAGCCGCCACCCCUCUGAUGGCCACGGACGACCGGAGGAGGGAAAGUCUGGGAAGGAGACCUCAAAGAUCCUACUGCCUCAUAGUUGGAAAGAAGGCCAGCAUGGGGGGGGGGGGGGAACCAUGCCGUGGGGUCUCUGGGAGACUGAAUGAAAGGUGGCGACUUCUGCUUUGCCACGCAAAGGUAGUGAGCUCACCACUGCUAGAAGUAUUCAAGCAGGGAGUAGAUGGCCUGGCCUUGGGGAAGUGGGAGGAGGAGUCCCCAAAGGCAGUGGCUAUUGGGACCAGAUAAUCAGCCCUGGGAGAACGGAACCCCAGAGGUUUCGAUUCCAAUGCGGUGCCUUUAAAGGCCAUGGAACCUAAUCCUUCUUUUACAUGUAAAGAGCCGUGAAGAGGCCCACAAGGAGCAGGUUGAGGAUUUGAACCCAGAGCCAGGACCUCAGUAGGGUCUCCCUCAGUUUCUCAUCGCCUAAGAAGUUGCUCCGUCCUUGGUUCUACAACCUGCAUAAUGGCUUCUACUAAGCUGCACCCUUGAAAGCAGUGGCUGUUUUUGCUUUUCUCUGGAUCCCUAGCACCUAGCACAAUGCUUAGUAUACAGUAGGUACAUAAUAAAGGCUCACUGACUGACUUAAGAAAGGCACAGAAAUAAAAAUGAAACACUCCUGGGAACCAACAGCUCGCAUUGGUUCCUCAGACGGAAACGCCACACUCCCAGCAUCCCCAUUGCACUCCCAGCAUCCCUGCUGCACUCCCAGCAUCCCCGCCACACUCCCAGCAUCCCCGCCAUGCCCUCGGCAUCCACAUCCAUUUUUCAGAAUGGGGACCACACCCCACAAUGAAGAAACCUGCAGGCCCAGGUUAGAGCCUCUGCACCUUCUCUUGGGUCCUUAGUGUCCACAUGGCUCAGUUUCCUCCUCUACCAAAUGAUGAGGUUGGAUGAGAGGGCCCAGAGGCCCCUUCCAGCCCCAUGAGCCUGCAGCAGACCUGGGUGCUCCCAAGUGGAUGUUGCAAAUUAAAACCCUGCCAUCCGUAUCAGCCUAACCUGGAGAAGACUCCUGGGUGUGAAUACGGAGCUAGGGGACCUAAAUCCUGGGUCUGUGCCGGGCGUUGGCUAAGUCCCUAUCAUUCUCUGGGCCUCCCUUUCCCCUUCUGUACAACAGGGAGGGCAGAUCGUGGCCCCUCUUGCACACAGGUGGCUUCAUGCACAGCACCUUCCCUCAACUGAUGUUUAUGAUCAGAGGAGGCUGGGUAUACAGUAAGUGCUUAAUAAAUGUCUAAAGAUCCCUGCUCCUCCAGGGGCUCCCAUCUCUCUGCAAUUGGACAGCUCCAAAGUGGGCGGAAGGGGCUGGAUCCCCGAGAGGACAGGCCGGGAGCUGGAAGGCCGUCUAACUCGGGGGUCUGGGGGGCACUCCUGAGUCUCCACUGAUGGAGAAGCCGGCUGCUCAGGGUCACCGGCCCGGCAUGGGUCUACAGCAAGAUCUGAAUCCAUGUCUUCCUCACUCCUGCUCCACUGCCCUAUUCAGCCACUCCAAUCUCCUCAUUUUACAGGGAGAGAAACCAAGGC
ensembl:lncRNA